rnacentral:rRNA from 1 species
UACGGGGGGGGGUAAGCGUUGUUCGGAAUUACUGGGCGUAAAGGGCUCGUAGGCGGCCAACUAAGUCGGACGUGAAAUCCCUCAGCUUAACUGGGGAACUGCGUCCGAUACUGGAUGGCUUGGAUUUGGGAGAGGGAUGCGGAAUUCCAGGUGUAGCGGUGAAAUGCGUAGAUAUCUGGAGGAAUACCGGUGGCGAAGGCGGCAUCCUGGACCGACAUUGACGCUGAUGAGCGAAAGCUAGGGGAGCAAACGGG